rnacentral:lncRNA from 1 species
CCCAAUUUCAAAAUGGUGACAGCGCAGAUUCUACCCACGAGUCGCAGUCUGAGGGAGAAGAAUCACACGUUGAAAUUCAGGACUUACAGAGAAAUUUUAACAGGCUGCGUUUAACACCGCCUGCCCAGGCUAUUAGAAUUCGGCCAUUACCUGCUAAAAGGACAAAAUUUAACAGGUACUCUGAAUUAACAAUGACUUUUCUUACCCCGUUCCAGCGAGGUAUUAAGAAAGCACAGGAAGCCGGGGAAGAUAUUAGCGGUUUUCAACUUUUUCCAGUUUUUGAACAGAUUAAUGAGCAAGAUCAGAGAGUUAGAGUUCAUGCUGUAAUCCCAUUUAAAACCAUUAAGGAACUAAAAAGUGCAUGCGAGACCUAUGGUCUGAAUACGCCUUUUGUACAGAGUCUAAUAGAUAAUAUCUGCUCGCAGCCCCUCCCACCUAGUGAUUGGAUUUCGUUAGCCAGAUCUUGUUUGAGUGGAGGAGAUUUCUUACUCUGGCGUUCUUAUUGGACUGAUUUUUGUACUGAACAGGCAGAAAAGAAUAGAAGACAAAAUUUACAGACUCCAGUAGAAAUGUUUUUAGGAACGGGUGAAUUUGCCGAUUUAGAAAGACAGUUAAAUUAUGAAUUUGUAGUAUAUGAUCAAAUAACUGAUUGUGCUAAAUGUGCCUGGAAGCAAAUAGUCUCUAAAGACCAAUCCAAUUUAGUUCUUACCAAAAUCAGGCAGGGUGCGAGUGAGCCGUACUCAGAUUUCGUAGCCUGAUUGUAUCAUACUACAAACAGGUCUAUCGGGGACCCGGGGGUGUGCGAAUUUAUUGUUAAGAAAUUGGCAUUUGAAAAUGCGAAUAAAUAUUGUCAAGACGUUCUUAGGCCGCACCGUAAAAAAGGGACAGUUUCUGAGUUUAUCCGCUUGUGUUCUGAGAUAGACUCUACUCAUUUGCAGACAGUAGCCCUAGCUGCGGCACUAAAGGAAACACUAAGGCCGCAAGAAUUAGUAUGAAAGCCCCGCGGGAGGUGCUAUGUUUGUGGGAGAAAUAACCAUUUUGCGCGCGAAUGUCGCAUGCGCAAUUUUAAGUUCAGGGCUCCAUGUACUGUUGAUAAUAGAUAUUGCAGGACUCAACCCCACGUGGCAGA